UGGGGAAUAUUGGACAAUGGGCGCAAGCCUGAUCCAGCCAUGCCGCGUGAGUGAUGAAGGCCCUAGGGUUGUAAAGCUCUUUCACCGGUGAAGAUAAUGACGGUAACCGGAGAAGAAGCCCCGGCUAACUUCGUGCCAGCAGCCGCGGUAAUACGAAGGGGGCUAGCGUUGUUCGGAUUUACUGGGCGUAAAGCGCACGUAGGCGGACUUUUAAGUCAGGGGUGAAAUCCCGGGGCUCAACCCCGGAACUGCCUUUGAUACUGGAAGUCUUGAGUAUGGUAGAGGUGAGUUGAAUUCCGAGUGUAGAGGUGAAAUUCGUAGAUAUUCGGAGGAACACCAGUGGCGAAGGCGGCUCACUGGACCAUUACUGACGCUGGGGUGCGAAAGCGUGGGGAGCAAACAGG
rnacentral:rRNA from 1 species